UGAAAAGCUUCUAAAUUUUUUCAGCAUCAGCCUUAUCAUUUUCAAUACCAAUGUGUGCCCUACUACAUGAUGUGUACAUUCAGGCUGCAGUACUAUAAAUUCUUCACUGCAGACUAUUAAGAUGGUGCUUCGCUUAAUUGGCUGUUCCGAAAAGGAACUUUUUUUCUCGCUCUCUCCUGCAUCAAACUGCAGAAGAUAUCCCAUAGGUAGCAGACUGGUGACUAUCUGAGCAGAAUCGACAACAUCAGCCUUUGGAUGUAUCCUGAAAGACUGUGUUUGUAGCUCCUGGAUUCAUCUCUCCAAAUGUCAGCCCAGGUAAACGCGACAGUCAGAAGUACUUACUACCAGCUUUGGCUGACAUGCCA
rnacentral:lncRNA from 11 species